GCCUGGGUGGCUCAAUUGGUUAAGCAUCUGGCUUCGGCUCAGGUCAUGAUUUCAUGGUUCGUGGGUUCGAGCCCCAUAUUGGGCU
rnacentral:tRNA from 1 species